rnacentral:rRNA from 1 species
UAGGGAAUCUUCCACAAUGGACGCAAGUCUGAUGGAGCAACGCCGCGUGAGUGAAGAAGGNCUUCGGAUCGUAAAAGCUCUGUUGUUGGUGAAGAAGGAUAGAGGCAGUAACUGGNCUUUAUUUGACGGUAAUCAACCAGAAAGUCACGGCUAACUACGUGCCAGCAGCCGCGGUAAUACGUAGGUGGCAAGCGUUGUCCGGAUUUAUUGGGCGUAAAGCGAGCGCGGGCGGAAUGAUAAGUCUGAUGUGAAAGCCCACGGCUCAACCGUGGAACUGCAUCGGAAACUGUCAUUCUUGAGUGCAGAAGAGGAGAGUGGAACUCCAUGUGUAGCGGUGGAAUGCGUAGAUAUAUGGAAGAACACCAGUGGCGAAGGCGGCUCUCUGGUCUGCAACUGACGCUGAGGCUCGAAAGCAUGGGUAGCGAACAGGAUUAGAUACCCUGGUAGUCCAUGCCGUAAACGAUGAGCGCUAGGU